CACGUAGCCCGUGUCCCGCACCUUGAUUGGCUGUGUUGGGACUGCGGUUACGCCCUCGGGCUCCGAUUGGCUGCGGGUAGAGGGGCAGGUGGCCGGGACGGCGGUGCUGAGGGGAGUUCGCGGCGUUCUCGGGACCCUAGUCUCGGGCCCCUGCCCCCUGUUCCCAGGCCUCGGGAAGACUGCAGGCUACGGGAAAUCUCUGCGGGGGGAGGGAGGAAGGACGGAGGGACCCGGGACUCACUGCGUCUUGCAUGGAGUGGACAGGGAGGUGACAAGAUCACAUUUUGAGAAGAAGUUGGAGAGAAGCCCAAGUGAUUAACUGAAGCCCUGGAUGAGGACAGGAUCUCUGAGGAGAAACUGGAAGGUAUGAUGAGUACAUUCUGAGUCCCAGGAUAGUGGGAA
rnacentral:lncRNA from 1 species